GAUGUUUAAAGUGUAUGUUCCAGAGUCGUUCCUCUCUGCACUGAGAACAAUCCUCUCUCUGUACUUGAUGGAGAUCUUGGACCUGACUGAUGAACGACUACAAAAGCAAGAUGAAGCUUCUUUUACAGAACUAAUAAUACUUUACUGAGAAACAGGAAGUUCCAUACACCAUCUACACCCCUUGAUUUAGAAGUGGUAAAGCAGCCCUGUGGUUUGUUCAUCUUGUCUGGGUAAGUAUUUUUCACACUCUCACAACAGCCUGGUCCUUUUUAGAUCUCAUCAUUGUUGUGUUUCCCAUUUCCCCCAUGAUCACAUACACCUGUGUUGGAUUAUCUCUUUAGUGCCACAUCAUUUAAGUUCCUGUUUCAUCAUUGUGUCUUGGUCUUGUUACUGUUGAUGCUACAGUGUGUCUCAUCCUUGUCCUCAUGUGGGCCUGGAUGAGGCAGUUUGUAGUUGGGAAGAACACAGAAGCAUUAACUCCUGGCUCUAAGCGAUCUAAGUUUGUAUGAUGGCCAAUGCGUAAGUAAUUCAUCCCGAGGUGUUUAUCUCGGGGAAGACAAACCUGGAGACAACCUUCACUUCAGCUGGACUUCUGCGUUAAACACUCCUUUGGCGGACGACAACAAAACUCUCGUACUGGAUAAAAUUCAUAUUAAAAAAGUCCCCUGUAAUGUCGAAUAACAUGUCAGUCAUGCCUACAAUUCAACUGAACUGCCAAAAUAUACCAGUGGGCCUGGAUGAGGCAGUCUGUAGUAACACAGAAGCAUUAACUCCUGGCUCUAAGGGAUCUAAGUUCAUAUGACAGCCAAUGCGUAAGGUGAGCAGAUCUGUCUGUAUGGUUCUGGGCCCGGCAGCCAAAAGGCACCCUUCCAGGGCAUGAACUGGUAGGGGCUGUGGAAGUGCCCUCUAACGGAGAUUCAAGCCAUGAUCAAUAAAAAUUAUAUUAACUAUAACUAUAGUCUCUCUCAGUAUUUCAUUUUACAUUUUAAUAUUUUUAUACAAAUGAGGCUUCAUUUAAUUAAAAAUGCAGAAGUGUAUAUAUUGUGAUAUUUUAAGCCCACUGUAAUGCUGUGAUUCUACAGUGGCAACAAUUUAAUAAAAUAUUAAAUAUUUUUGAAAUGUAAAUCUAAUUUCUAAGUCCUAUGUACAGAAUGUGUGAAUGCUGAAAUAAAAUCUGUUUUAGUUAUUA